CACGCGGUAAACGAUGACGACUGGGUGUUGCGGGUAUUGAUCCCCGCAGCGCCGAAGCCAACGCGUUAAGUCGUCCGCCUGGGAAGUACGGCCGCAAGGCUAAAACUCAAAGGAAUUGACGGGGGCCCGCACAAGCGGUGGAGCAUGUGGUUUAAUUCGACGCAACGCGAAGAACCUUACCCGGACUCGAAAAUGCAGGGAUCCCGAUGAAAGUUGGGAGUGCUCGCAAGAGAACCUGUAUCAGGUGC
rnacentral:rRNA from 1 species